rnacentral:rRNA from 1 species
UACGAAGGGGGCUAGCGUUGUUCGGAAUUACUGGGCGUAAAGCGCGCGCAGGCGGUUUUUCAAGUCAGUGGUGAAAGCCCGGAGCUCAACUCCGGAAAUGCCAUUGAAACUGUAAAACUUGAGGACGAGAGAGGUGAGUGGAAUUCCCAGUGUAGAGGUGAAAUUCGUAGAUAUUCGCAAGAACACCAGUGGCGAAGGCGGCUCACUGGCCCGGUACUGACGCUGAGGUGCGAAAGCGUGGGGAGCAAACAGG